rnacentral:rRNA from 1 species
AUUGAACGCUGGCGGAAUGCUUUACACAUGCAAGUCGAGCGGCAGCACGGGGGCAACCCUGGUGGCGAGCGGCGAACGGGUGAGUAAUACAUCGGAACAUGCCCAGUCGUGGGGGAUAACACUUCGAAAGAAGUGCUAAUACCGCAUACGUCCUGAGGGAGAAAGCGGGGGAUCGCAAGACCUCGCGCGAUUGGAGUGGCCGAUGUCAGAUUAGCUAGUUGGUGGGGUAAAGGCCUACCAAGGCAACGAUCUGUAGCUGGUCUGAGAGGAUGAUCAGCCACACUGGGACUGAGACACGGCCCAGACUCCUACGGGAGGCAGCAGUGGGGAAUUUUGGACAAUGGGGGCAACCCUGAUCCAGCCAUUCCGCGUGAGUGAAGAAGGCCUUCGGGUUGUAAAGCUCAUUCGGCAGGAACGAAACGGCGAGCUCUAACAUAGCUUGCUAAUGACGGUACCUGAAGAAGAAGCACCGGCUAACUACGUG